rnacentral:lncRNA from 1 species
AACAGAGAGGAAGUGUUUACCGUGAAUAUAGUGUUCGCAAAAGGCAACAAGUAAUAGCCAAAGGUUUCUAUUAUACAUUAGUAGUAGUUAAACAAAUAAUUAAUUUCCGCGGGCGCAACUAGGCCUAAAAAUUGAAAGAAAAUGAUUAUAAAAGCACGGAAAAUAUAGCGCUGGAUUACUAGAUUAGUGGAAACUUGACAUCGUACAACUCCCAUUAUAAUAAAUACUUCAAACUAAAAUAAAAUACAUGUAUAAAAAGUUUAACGUAUAGAUCAAGAUAUAAAAAAACAAUGUUUGCACGAAAAGUAAGCGUUGAAUUCACGGAUUAACCAUUCUUUUUAUUAUUACCAUUAUGAUUGAAUAUUGAUAUUAAUCUAUGAAUCAUAUGUAUUUGGAAUGAUUUUGAUAUAGUAAGUAUUAUUGCACGUUUAGGAUCAUCUAAUUUAUAGUUAUGGGCUAAAAAAAAUGUUAGAGAGAGGGGGAGAGGCUAAGCGAACAUUUCCUUUACUAGCUGCAUGAAUACUACUCAUCCCUAGUUUUGACGAAAACGACCGGCUGGAACCCGAUUGAACAUGAUUCAUCUUUUUCGUAACCCGAUUGAGCACAGUUACAAUCAAACAAUAGGAACCAAAAAAAAAAAAAACCAAAAAACCACACAAUUGAGCAUGAAAAUGGGUGCACGUUGCCGCUUUGUAUCGUAGAAUAUUUCAAUAACUCACCAUUUUGUCUAAUCCCAAUAAACUUAUACCUGAAAGCUCCGACAUUAGCUAACUCUUUGCCUUUCUCAGAUAAAAUAAUUUUUUUUUCAUUAUUUUCCAUUUCAAUUUGCAAAAUACACGUUAUUUAGGAAUACGUCAUGAGCAUACGAGACAACAGAAUAGAAUGGCUACUAUUUACAGCGUAGACACAUACAAUCGUUAUAAAUAAAAUUCUGGUUUCCUAUUUAUCAGUUAUUUUAAACUUCCGUGGUACCUAUCAAUCAAUAGCGAAAUUUUUUUCGACUAAUAGUUAGAUCAGCGUUUCUCAACCAGGGGGUCGAGACCCCCAGAGGGGUCACGAACACCUUGACUUGGGGUCACGUAGAUCAAAAAUAAUAAAACACUGAUUUACAAAAUGUAAAUUCAAAUCAAAUUUUUACCUAAUAUAGAUGGAGGGGGGUCGCAAAGUGAUUGACCAUAUUUUAUACCUAUUUUAGGGGUCGCGACACUAAAAAGGUUGAGAAACGAUGAGUAAGAUAGUUUCCUAUUAAUUAUCAACACAUACUAGUAAAAAUCUGACAACGUUGUACACAAUAUUUUCUUUUUACGGUGCUCAAUUGGGUCGUCAAAAAGGUCAGCCGAUAACGAACUUGUUCAAUCGGGUAUCACGUAAACGACCGACGAGAACCCAUCUCAGGUUUUCUUCCGUGUUAUUAUCUCGUAAAUGUGCGAAGAACAUUUGUCCGUAUAAUGUACAAACGUGCAAAUUCAAAUUCGUGAUAAAUAUACAAAGAUAAAUUCAAACGCAGUACACUGGUCUAAUUGGAUAGAACACGCCAUCGCGUACAACGUACACGACGAAUCGGCCGUUAUUGUUACAGAAUACGAUAAUAUUACAUAUUACGAACAAUAGACGAAACGUAUACAUAUAUAAACAGUUAUUGUGAUUAUUAUUAUGAUCGCCUUCCGGUCGUUUUCAAAUUAUUAUCGUCAAACGUUUUCCAUCAUCCUUUGCCGGCCUCGUACGCGUCAACGGAACAACGAUAUCGCAGUGUCUUGGUACGGAAACAACGGCAUUGCGAAUAGAUGGAAUGCACCGUAAGAAGUCGCGAUAAUGAUGGGUUUUGAUAAUUAUAGGAAUCAUUUUUAAGUUUUUUUACAUACAAUUUUAUACAUAAAAUAAAAAAUUAAAAUUUUUUAUGUAGACAUGUCACAUGAAAAAUAGGGGGGCUAUGUUAAAAUAAGAGCUCAAUUUUUUUUUUUUAAAGACGGCAAAAUUUGAUUUUGCUUAGUGCACUAUUUUUGCUUGGGCCAGCCUUGGGUACGGGAUGCGACAAUAAUGCGCGGUUGACGAAUAACGUAUGUGCAUACAACGUGCACCGUAACGAGCGCUGUGGUCGCGCGCGAAGACGAUCGGCUCAAUAAAUAACCGACAAAUAUUCUAAUAGUUAUCAUCGAUCAGGUUAGGUUCUGAGUAGGUUAGUUACUACUGGUUAGUUUUAGUAUAAUCUGUCAUUAUAUUAUUAUUAUAAUAAUAACAAAAGUACAUGUAUUCGGAUCGGCCAUCGUAUCGACGCGCGUUCAUCGUUGUGUACGUGAGUAAGAAUUUUAAUACGGUUUUUCAGGAUUUUUCGUUCGGAACGAACCGCUCCACUGGUGUCCGUGUAACCUUGACGGACGGACCUGCACGGUUCGGCCCACAUCUCGGGUGCAACCGGAAUGCUUUUGAUUUAAAAAACAUGUCAUUAGCAUAAGCGAGAGGAACGCUACACGCGGUUUCCGGUGGCCAGCCAAUAAGACUGUAUUACGUAUACGCGUACUACAUACGUGCCGAGCGUUCAGUACAUGUUGUAUGGUACAUCAAUUAUUCGUUACCGUUUUACCGUGACGUGUCUCGCGUUACAUCAUAAUAUUGCUGUUAUUGUUGCAUGCGGCAACACAAUGGGCCCGAUCGAAGUGGGUGGCGGGACACGAACGAACGUAUGUAUUAUGGAACGGGGAGCCACGUUUUUUAAGGAGAUCGCAUGUGCCGCCGAAAACAGUCGACCGGAUUAUUUAUAUAUUUUUUUUUUUUUUUGAGGUCGAAGGAAUUAUUAUACCGACCCGAUUGUUGCGCAUUGUAAUGUAUAACGCACGAGACGAUGAUCGGAGCAAUCUCCCGUUAGACACACCGCAGAAACACGCCUAGGUUUUCGAUCCAUAACACUUCCCGCGGUAAUCGCACAUUGUUCGGCGCACGCGCGUCCAUUUAAAGACGGAUUACUUUCAAUCGUCGAACAAUAAAAGUGCAGUACGCGCGCACCCGGCCAGCAAUAAAACGAACGAUUUUGCGUGUGUCGUCUAGGUAUUGUGUUACGCAGUAUCGGAUUAUGGUCAUAAAUCAUCAAGUUCAUUUCCAUACGAUAUUCAUUUGAAAUAAAUAAUUAUGGUGACAUAUACGAGUUUAUGGAAAAAAAAAUCAAAAAAAUCGAGUAGACUGAUACCGCCGAUCAAUCGGUCGUCGACAAUCGAUUGCGUGGAUAGAAUUAGUCACCAUCGAUGGCACGUAUACAUUUUACAGUUUGAAACGGAUCCGUUAAUAGUUGCGUACACAGUGGUCAUCGAAUGUAUUUCGUGUUGCCUCCAGGAUCGAUCAUCCGUUCUGCGUGUCGUUUUCAACGACGACACCGGUUGUAGCGGCGAACAAUAGCGGAUCUGGAGACUUGCACGUUCCGCGACACGUCCGACCGACGGUUAUCGGGUCGUGGCGUCGAUUUCACGGUCACCGCGGUCAUAGGUCGUGGUCGCCGCGGCCGCGCGGCCCCGUCCGUUUCACGCGCACCGCCACGUAUACCGCACGAAUGUUCGUGAUUGGCCGGCUAUCCAUCCCGGAGGGGCGUGUCCGACCCGCGGAUCGUUGGUAGGUCGAACACCACCGGCCGGCGGUGGUAACCGUCGGCAGGUCAUCCGUCCGGUGGAUGGUCGCGAUCGAGUCAAACGGUUCGGGGUCAAGCCCCGCAGACUUUCUCGUCCUCGCAAUAACACUUGUUGCACUCGUGUUGUAAACCGUAUAUUUUUUUUUUCGUUGUUUUUGUUUUCGUUACUGUUGCGCACGCGCGUACGUGCUUGGCACGCACUUCUUUCGCCUCUCCUCUUGUAAUAUUGUGCAACGCGCGACAAGAGUUAAGUAAGAUUAUUAUACGCCAUGAUGGAGCACAAAAAUCGAAUCGUCGCCGCGUCCCGGCUUAUUAUUAUUAUUUUGUUGUUGUUGUUGUUAUGUAUUGUAUGCAUUGUCGCGGCGGAUCUAAAUCGUUAUUAUUCGAACGAAUUUUGGUUCUUGUGGUCAGUGUGACCGUCUUCAGUCGCUGUUUCUUCGGGGUGUUCAAUUAUCACGUAAUAAUCCGUCUUCAGCUGUAUGUUAUCCACGAUAGCUCGUUUUAGUGUUUAUCAUUAUCUUUCUCCCUCUAAUAGAGCGAUCCGUUCGGAGCAAUACGACAUCCGAGCACACGUGGGUUCGUUGUCGUGAGAGACGGCCAGUUUUGGGAUGUCCAGUACAUCUGGAAAUACCCUUCCUCGUUAAUACGCCACUUAUAAGCAAGCCGAAUAUUACGAAUAUCGUUGACGCACCAGCGCUUACUUUGGACGAUGACAUAGUCAAAAUUAUCUCAAUGCUCGAAAUGGGUCCCGAAGAGAUCGUAGACUGAUCGUCUGCUCGUGAUCACCGAGAUCCCCGACCGCAACAAAAACCACAGAAAACGUCAAUCCCGUCAUUCGACUUCGACUAUCGAAAAGCCGAGCGAACGCGAAUUGAAGGUAAUCGCAAUCGUUCAACCUGACCACAACCGUACAUAUGUAAAAUGUAAUGCUUAAUCAUUUAUGUGAAUAAUUUUUAUUUUUUCGCGGAAAACGAAAGCAAUAAGCGCAUGCCUACGGUUCCUUCCAGUAUUAUGCUUUUUGAACAAAUUUUAGAUAAAUAAGGGCUAACAUUGAAAUUUGCAAAA